rnacentral:rRNA from 1 species
UACGAAGGGGGCUAGCGUUGUUCGGAAUUACUGGGCGUAAAGCGCACGUAGGCGGACUCUUAAGUCAGGGGUGAAAUCCCGGGGCUCAACCUCGGAACUGCCUUUGAUACUGUGAGUCUCGAGACCGGAAGAGGUGAGUGGAAUUCCUAGUGUAGAGGUGAAAUUCGUAGAUAUUAGGAAGAACACCAGUGGCGAAGGCGGCUCACUGGUCCGGUUCUGACGCUGAGACGCGAAAGCGUGGGUAGCGAACGGG